GACCAUGUAGCUCAGUGGUAGAGCACUUGCUUAGCAUGCAAAAGGUCCUGGUCC
rnacentral:tRNA from 1 species